CGGAACGGGUGAGUAACGCGUGAGGAACCUGCCUCAAAGAGGGGGACAACAGUUGGAAACGACUGCUAAUACCGCAUAAGCCCACGGCUCGGCAUCGAGCAGAGGGAAAAGGAGCGAUCCGCUUUGAGAUGGCCUCGCGUCCGAUUAGCUAGUUGGUGAGGUAACGGCCCACCAAGGCGACGAUCGGUAGCGGGACUGAGAGGUUGAACGGCCACAUUGGGACUGAGACACGGCCCAG
rnacentral:rRNA from 1 species